CCUGCCAGGUGGAGCCUGAGCAUCCUCACAGAUUCCCGUCCCCAAGCCCAUCCUUCCCUGCAGCCUCCGAGAAAGCCUCCCAAGCAGCCGCCAGCUUCCGAAAGAGUGGAAGAGACAGGGAAAGAAAAAAGAAAUACUGAUGUGAGAGAAGCACAUUGAUUGGUUGCCUCCUGCCUGGGCCGGCAACCAAGAAACAACCGUUCUGCUGUGGAAGCCGGCCCUGCAGAGGCUCUGGAUGCAAACUCGACCUCUUCCCUCCCAGGGGUGGUGUAGGAGUCUAUGAAUGGCUAAAAGUGGUUUGAAAUACUAUAAUAAAAAGAAGGAGA